rnacentral:rRNA from 1 species
AGUGAACGCUGGCGGUAGGCCUAACACAUGCAAGUCGAACGGCAGCACAGUAAGAGCUUGCUCUUACGGGUGGCGAGUGGCGGACGGGUGAGGAAUACAUCGGAAUCUACUUUUUCGUGGGGGAUAACGUAGGGAAACUUACGCUAAUACCGCAUACGACCUACGGGUGAAAGCAGGGGAUCUUCGGACCUUGCGCGAUUGAAUGAGCCGAUGUCGGAUUAGCUAGUUGGCGGGGUAAAGGCCCACCAAGGCGACGAUCCGUAGCUGGUCUGAGAGGAUGAUCAGCCACACUGGAACUGAGACACGGUCCAGACUCCUACGGGAGGCAGCAGUGGGGAAUAGUGGACAAUGGGCGCAAGCCUGAUCCAGCCAUACCGCGUGGGUGAAGAAGGCCUUCGGGUUGUAAAGCCCUUUUGUUGGGAAAGAAAAGCAGCAGGUUGAUACCCCGCUGUUCUGACGGUACCCAAAGAAUAAGCACCGGCUAACUUCGUG